CCUACGGGCGGCAGCAGUGAGGAAUAUUGGUCAAUGGAGGCAACUCUGACCCAGCAACGCCGCGUGAAUGAUGAAGGUCUUCGGAUUGUAAAGUUCUGUGAUGGGGGAUGAACACAAUGACGGUACCCCAAUAGCAAGCCACGGCUAACUACGUGCCAGCAGCCGCGGUAAUACGUAGGUGGCAAGCGUUAUCCGGAAUGACUGGGCGUAAAGGGUGCGUAGGUGGUUUAGUAAGUUGGCGGUGUAAUUCCGGGGCUCAACCUCGGCGCUACCGCCAAAACUAUUAGACUAGAGUGCAGGGGGGGUAAGUGGAAUUCCUAGUGUAGCGGUGGAAUGCGUAGAUAUUAGGAGGAACAUCAGGGGCGAAGGCGACUUACUGGACUGUAACUGACACUGAGGCACGAAAGCGUGGGGAGCAAACAGGAUUAGAUACCCCGGUAGUC
rnacentral:rRNA from 1 species